CUUUUCUGUUAAAAAAAAAGCCAAGUAUUUUACAUAUGGUUUUUGUUGUCAAACAUUGCUCAAGGGAAAAACGGUACCUGCAAUCACAGCUGAUAGAGGAAAAGCAUAGGCAUGGACCUUUUUCAGGUGGUUUGUGAGAUUAAAAGCUGACUAGCUCCUAAAAAGAGGUACAAUAUUAAGCAUCUAGCAUCUUUCCGUUCACUGAGGCGGCAGAGAUAUAAAAGUGUUCUUGCAAUCAUAAACAGAGACUCAUGAAGUCCUUCACAGAAAUGUAGGUGAAAAAAUAAAUGCGUUGAGAGGCUCCGGUUUGCUGUUGGCGAGCGAGCAGUAAAGUCAGGAAUUUUUGGCUGUUGCUCAGUUUCUGUGAACAAAAGUCA
rnacentral:lncRNA from 1 species